AUUGAACGCUGGCGGCAUGCUUUACACAUGCAAGUCGAACGGUAACAGGGAGCUUGCUCCGCUGACGAGUGGCGAACGGGUGAGUAAUAUAUCGGAACGUACCCAAGAGUGGGGGAUAACGUAGCGAAAGUUACGCUAAUACCGCAUACGAUCUAUGGAUGAAAGCAGGGGACCUUCGGGCCUUGUGCUCCUGGAGCGGCCGAUAUCUGAUUAGCUAGUUGGUGAGGUAAAGGCUCACCAAGGCGACGAUCAGUAGCUGGUCUGAGAGGACGACCAGCCACACUGGAACUGAGACACGGUCCAGACUCCUACGGGAGGCAGCAGUGGGGAAUUUUGGACAAUGGGCGCAAGCCUGAUCCAGCAAUGCCGCGUGAGUGAAGAAGGCCUUCGGGUUGCAAAGCUCUUUUGUCAGGGAAGAAACGGUAGAGGCUAAUAUCCUUUGCUAAUGACGGUACCUGAAGAAUAAGCACCGGCUAACUACGUGCCAGCAGCCGCGGUAAUACGUAGGGUGCAAGCGUUAAUCGGAAUUACUGGGCGUAAAGCGUGCGCAGGCGGUUUUGUAAGUCUGUCGUGAAAUCCCCGGGCUCAACCUGGGAAUUGCGAUGGAGACUGCAAGGCUAGAAUCUGGCAGAGGGGGGUAGAAUUCCACGUGUAGCAGUGAAAUGCGUAGAGAUGUGGAGGAACACCGAUGGCGAAGGCAGCCCCCUGGGUCAAGAUUGACGCUCAUGCACGAAAGCGUGGGGAGCAAACAGGAUUAGAUACCCUGGUAGUCCACGCCCUAAACGAUGUCUACUAGUUGUCGGGUUUUAAUUAACUUGGUAACGCAGCUAACGCGUGAAGUAGACCGCCUGGGGAGUACGGUCGCAAGAUUAAAACUCAAAGGAAUUGGCGGGGACCCGCACAAGCGGUGGAUGAUGUGGAUUAAUUCGAUGCAACGCGAAAAACCUUACCUACCCUUGACAUGUACGGAAGCCACGAGAGAUCGAGGUGUGCUCGAAAGAGAGCCGUAACACAGGUGCUGCAUGGCUGUCGUCAGCUCGUGUCGUGAGAUGUUGGGUUAAGUCCCGCAACGAGCGCAACCCUUGUCAUUAGUUGCUACAUUUAGUUGAGCACUCUAAUGAGACUGCCGGUGACAAACCGGAGGAAGGUGGGGAUGACGUCAAGUCCUCAUGGCCCUUAUGGGUAGGGCUUCACACGUCAUACAAUGGUACAUACAGAGGGCCGCCAACCCGCGAGGGGGAGCUAAUCCCAGAAAGUGUAUCGUAGUCCGGAUCGCAGUCUGCAACUCGACUGCGUGAAGUUGGAAUCGCUAGUAAUCGCGGAUCAGCAUGUCGCGGUGAAUACGUUCCCGGGUCU
rnacentral:rRNA from 1 species